rnacentral:tRNA from 1 species
GUCUCGGUAGCGUAGUGGUUAACGCAAGAGCCCCGGACAGACGCAAGACGCGGGUUCGAGUCCUGCUCGAGCA